AGAGUUUGAUCCUGGCUCAGAUUGAACGCUGGCGGCAUGCCUUACACAUGCAAGUCGAACGGCAGCGCGGGGGCAACCCUGGUGGCGAGUGGCGAACGGGUGAGUAAUAUAUCGGAACGUACCCAGUAGUGGGGGAUAACUAUCCGAAAGGAUAGCUAAUACCGCAUACGAUCUGUGGAUGAAAGCAGGGGAUCUUCGGACCUUGUGCUAUUGGAAUGGCCGAUAUCUGAUUAGCUAGUUGGUAGGGUAAAAGCCUACCAAGGCGACGAUCAGUAGCUGGUCUGAGGGGACGACCAGCCACACUGGAACUGAGACACGGUCCAGACUCCUACGGGAGGCAGCAGUGGGGAAUUUUGGACAAUGGGGGCAACCCUGAUCCAGCAAUGCCGCGUGAGUGAAGAAGGCCUUCGGG
rnacentral:rRNA from 1 species